UUUAAGUCAAAGUCAUUAUGAGAUCAUCUGAAUCCACAAUAUUGCUGGUACUGAGGAACUGAAAAGUCAGGGAAUGCUCACUAGACAGAAUGCAGUCUAGAUGGCUGGCUGGGAAGCCAUUAGAAAUAGAUAUUUUAAAGUAUCUUUUGAUGAGAAAGAAAAGAAAAGAAAAGAAAAGAAAAGAAAAGAAAAGAAAAGAA